CACAGUCAGAGUUUGAUCCUGGCUCAGGAUGAACGCUAGCGACAGGCUUAACACAUGCAAGUCGAGGGGCAGCACGAUGUAGCAAUACAUUGGUGGCGACCGGCGCACGGGUGAGUAACGCGUAUGCAACCUACCUAUCAGAGGGGAAUAACCCGGCGAAAGUCGGACUAAUACCGCAUAAAACAGGGGUUCCACAUGGAAAUAUUUGUUAAAGAAUUAUCGCUGAUAGAUGGGCAUGCGUUCCAUUAGAUAGUUGGUGAGGUAACGGCUCACCAAGUCCACGAUGGAUAGGGGUUCUGAGAGGAAGGUCCCCCACACUGGUACUGAGACACGGACCAGACUCCUACGGGAGGCAGCAUGCU
rnacentral:ncRNA from 1 species